rnacentral:rRNA from 1 species
UACGUAGGGACCAAGCGUUGUCCGGAAUCAUUGGGCGUAAAGAGCGUGUAGGCGGCUUGUUAAGUCUUGUGUGAAAUCUCGGGGCUCACCCCGAGCGGUCAUGAGAAACUGGCAGGCUAGAGUGCGGGAGAGGAGAGUGGAAUUCCUGGUGUAGCGGUGAAAUGCGCAGAUAUCGGGGAGGAACACCGGUGGCGAAGGCGGUUCUCUGGGCCUUACCUGGCGCUGAGGAGCC